rnacentral:rRNA from 1 species
UACAGAGACUGCAAGCGUUAUUCGGAUUCACUGGGCGUAAAGGGUGCGCAGGCGGCCGGGUGUGUCAGAUGUGAAAUCCCGAGGCUCAACCUCGGAACUGCGUCUGAAACUACUCGGCUAGAGUACUGGAGAGGGUAACGGAAUUCACGGUGUAGCAGUGAAAUGCGUAGAUAUCGUGAGGAACACCAGAGGCGAAGGCAGUGUUCUGGGUGGUACCUGACGCUCAGGGGCGAAAGCUAGGGGAGCGAACGGG